CUCCUAGCGCGUUGGCGUGUGCGGGAGAUGCGUGGUCUGCAGCUGCCGCUCCUCCCAGCUGCGCUUCACUGCGCAAAAGACCUCGCUCUCGUCCGCUGUAUCAGGGAUCUUGGGCAUGCUGUUUUCCCCGCGGGCAGCGACCUCAAAGUCUGUGACAUCGGCGGUUGGUGGGAUGCACCCCUCCUCGUCAUUCUCCAUCGCAAGCCCUGCACUCUUCUCUGUGCGAUGCAGACCAACAGCCGUCCAGCGGGGAGAAGGCAGGGUGUCACCGACAGGAGCGCACCGCGUAGCACCACUGCAUUCCGCCGGCCGCCGCGAGGGCGCCUCUGCUGGUCGCUCUUGCGACCACUUCCAGGUGGCCAUACACAUGCACUCCUUUUGUCCAGA
rnacentral:rRNA from 1 species